CACGUAGGGUGCGAGCGUUGUCCGGAAUUAUUGGGCGUAAAGAGCUCGUAGGCGGUGUGUCGCGUCGGCCGUGAAAACCUGCAGCUUAACUGUGGGCGUGCGGUCGAUACGGGCAUCACUGGAGUUCGGCAGGGGGGACUGGAAUUCCUGGUGUAGCGGUGAAAUGCGCAGAUAUCAGGAGGAACACCGGUGGCGAAGGCGGGUCUCUGGGCCGAUACUGACGCUGAGGAGCGAAAGCGUGGGGAGCGAACAGG
rnacentral:rRNA from 1 species